UUGAGACGUAGCAGCAUUAGCAUUUAUGUAGCCUUUCUGACGAGUGUUUUUGAAAAUAUAAAGUUCAUUUUUAUAACAAGUAGAAAAAGGACGUCAACAUCUGUUGUACCCCCAACAACUUCGUCCUUAAUUAGGAACACUGGGCGAACAAAAUUGAAAUCAAGAGUUUAGGGUUUUCGUUCUCCCGUUCCUGUUUUCUGCAAUUUUUGCUUCAAUUCUCUCUCGCGAAUAUAAGAUGACAAAAGGGGAAAGAACCUCACCGCCAGAGUCGAGAACCUCACCACCAGGGUCGAAAACCUCACCACCAAAGUCGAAAACCUCACCACCAGAGUCGAGAACCUCACCGCGACACUCAAGUCGCAGGUCGCGAUCUUUAUCCAGGUCCCGGAGAAGUCGUUCUAGGAGCCGUGAUUCUGAGGAUGCUCUUAAUCCUGGGAACAAUCUUUAUGUCACUGGUCUUUCUACAAGGGUUACUGAAACUGAACUCGAAAAUUAUUUCAAAUGUGAAGGAAAGGUUGUUAAGUGCCAUUUGGUCAGAGACCCUCAUAGUAAGGAGUCCCGUGGUUUUGCAUUUGUUACUAUGGAGACCACCAAAGAUGCAGAGCGUUGUAUUAAGAACCUGAACCGGUCUGUUAUUGAAGGCCGAUUAAUUACUGUUGAAAAGGUGUUGCUCUUCCACAGUUUUCUAUUUCUUUAUAGAAGCUUUAUGUUGGUCCUCCAACUAAUAUAUUGUACUAACACUACUCAUCUUCAGAAUCUGCCUGCUAAUGUUUGGCAGCAGCCAUGGUAGUAUCUCCAUCGAACUCAAACUCUAAGAUAUAUUAACAGUUCAAACCAACCCCUUGUGAACUUGCGCUCUGCACCGACACCUGAACUCCUAGCACCAAUCCGAUAUUGUUGAGAGGGUCGCAUGACUUUGAUUGCAUAUUAUUCAAUUGUUUCUGCUUCAAAGUUAUUCCUUAUGUUUUGCCACUGCUUGCCAUGGUCGUGUUGAAGGUGUGUGUCUUACUUAAAGAUAAAUUUAAUUUCAAGAGGCACUGAUGUGGAGAUGUUCACGUGCUAUUUCACUUUUAGUUUUCGGCUAAAAGGAAACGAGAGAGAACUCCAACUCCUGGAAAGUAUGAAGGUGUUAAAAAUAAAAGAGGAAACAGCUGGAACAGGCGAAGAUCUCGUAGUUACUCACCUCGUAGGAGACAUGAUAGAGAUAAUGAUAAUCGGGAAC